GACGGACCAUCCAAACGUUAUUCGGAAUUACUGGGCGUAAAGCGUGCGUAGCCGGUUACAUAAGUCGGGUGUGAAAGCCCCGGGCUCAACCUGGGAAUUGCAUUCGAGACUGCGUAGCUAGGGUGCGGAAGAGGGAAGCGGAAUUUCCGGUGUAGCGGUGAAAUGCGUAGAUAUCGGAAGGAACACCAGUGGCGAAAGCGGCUUCCUGGUCCAGCACCGACGUUCAGGCACGAAAGCGUGGGGAGCAAACAGG
rnacentral:rRNA from 1 species